rnacentral:rRNA from 1 species
AUGGCGCCGCCUCAUCGACAAGAAGUUCUUGCCAUUUUCUCAACGGAGAGAAAGGCUGGCCUCAAUUCUGUCGACGACUCCAAAUGGGCGGAAGUAAAGCAUAUCAAUUGCUAUGCAACAUUUAUGGGGUACUUGUGGAUGGCAAUGAGAGGGGUGAGCGUCCUAGUGGUUACGUGGACCACCGUCGUCCUUCUUGGUGGUUUCGUGUCUAUGCUAAAUACCAAGGACUUUUGGUUUCUCACGGUGAUUACCCUCGUACAAACUGCCGGGGUCUUUGAUAUGCAUCUGAGUGAAAAUUUAAUUGCUAUUCCAAGAUUAUGCUUGGGCUUCUUGCAUACCGUGACAAUCACAAUCACACGGGAAGGUGGACAAGUAAGGAGAAACGAGAGGUCCUGUAUGCCAUGCCUACCAGCCCCAGUUGGCAGAUGGUCUCUUAUGGUACGAAAUGUGCUUGGUGCUGUCCUAGAGAUCGCUCAAGGAAUUGCGUUCGCCAAUAUAUUGUGCCUGCUAGCAGCUAUCUAUGGGUUUGGAUUGUACAUCACUUGUGCCGGUUGCGUGUGGCGUCUAAAAGAGCGUGAUUAUGGCAGCUCCGAUGGAGACGGAGCAAACAAGAAUCCGGCCCUUUUUGUGCUAUACAUCCUAGGCGUGUUCCAAGGUACCAUCUUGUUUUAUAGAAUAAUGCUGGGUCGUGCAGGGAGAAGGAUAGCGAACCAAGUGGCCGAAGAAUACAGAUUUGAGGAUUACUCGCCUGUUUUGGGCUACCUUGACGAGUUAAGGAUUGGAUGCGACAAGGACAGUUCAUUUGCUAGAGGAAGGAACCUCAUCACAUAUGCACUACAGCUGAUGGAGUCCCAUUCACCGGAUGACCUCCUUUCGGGGACAAGGAUCCUGGACACACUCAUCACAUAUGAUGACUCUCCUCAGUCACCCGAGGACCUUCCCAGCACAAGUGUUACCGUAUGGACCGGGUAUGUCAAUGUCAACAUACACACCCCGAGACAGGAGGAGCAAAAAGGCACGCGCAUGCCGAUGGUGAAAGAACGGCUGAUUGGCUCGUCGUCCUCUGGGAAGAUAUUCCAGAAACUGCUCAAGGCGCUCGAUUCCAGGAGCCCAUGCAACGCAGAGAUGAGGAAAAAAGCCGCAAGGAUUGUGUGCGCGCUUGCUGGCGACAUCCAUUUGAAACAGUUCCCUGGAGGGAUCAGAUGCAUAUCUUCCCUGCUGGAUGCCUCUCUGCAUGAGGUGGAUGAAUACAAGCAGCUCAUGCUGCAAGGCUUGUUUAUUAUUGAGAAGCUCGCCACCGACGAGGACAACUGCAGAGUCAUGAGCCACAUAAAUGGUCUAGUUUCCAUGAUCAUGAGGCCUCUAAGCCGCGACCUACUGCACCGUGUUAAUCAUGAUGAAUGGUCCGAUGUUGUAGAUGCAUCACUGCGAUUGACGUGCACCUGGCUCAAUACUGCUACAGGAAAUAGUGGCGAAAAGCUGUGCAGCCAAAUCAUAGUGAACAAGGAAGCAAUCAGCGCCAUGCUGACCAUUCUCAUCUGUGAUAAGUGUCAUAAAGAACGGCUUAUACUAGCCAUGAAGGUUCUUCUCAUCACAAAAAUACAAGGCCAAGAAAAUAUCGUCGUGCAGCUACUAGGCAUCUUUCUUGGUUACAGGAAGGAUGAUUACAUCACAGGAUUGGCUGGUGAAAAGCUUCUCAUGCUCUCCAAAGAGAGCAAAAGCAACGCAAAGACCAUCUUAGAAGGAAACAUCAUCCUAGAACAAAAUGGUGAUUCUGCUCAGAGGAUUAUCGGAGCAUUAUAUUUUGAGGAAAGGAAUAAAUUCAGAAUAUGUGCAGCAGGGAUCCUGGAGGGUCUAUGUAGUCACUACAUCGUAAGCCAAGAAUUACCGCUCCACGCGGUGGAAAAUGAGCUAUUUGAGAAUCUGAAGAGACACAUAACCGAUUACAUGCCAGGGUUGCUCUUGAAAAUGCUUCCUGCACAGCGGCAGAGAGCAAGAAAUGUCUCACUGGAUGCUGACGUAGAAAGGCAAAACACUAGUGUUGUUUCAUCAUUAGAUAAUGCCCAAAAUGGUGUGCAACCCGAGGAUAAGGAACUGCAAGCAGCCUUGCUGUCUCUAUGCUUCACGGUAUACCACAAAAUGAUCGAUAAAGAAGAUGAUUUAGCUCCUCUGCUUGAUGCAGUUCGCUUGAAAGAUCCUCAGUUUAACUUACCGGAGAGGCUCAUUGAAUUGGUAGAAAGGAACAGUGACUCCACGGUGGUGGACUGCCUCAGAAUCGUGAAAUAUACUGCUAAGAUGGCCAAAUCCAUGAUAAGACACAAGCAUUUCUACUCUGACCAAGACCUUGGUAGAUUGACGAACUCACUGGACAAAGCUUGCAGAGAUAUGAGCCAUGUUGACGCCUUUGAGCAUUUAUCUGGAGGCGAUGGUACUGAUACUCUCAGUACCCUCGUGCAAGAAGCACGUAAACUGUUGCAUCCAAUGGAACAAAGACAGAAACCUGAGGUUUCAAUCAAGGGAAAAGAAUAUGAAAUUACUGAGCAGGGGCAGUCCUCAUCAGGUUCAAGCGAAAGUGAUAUUCUCGGUUACCUGUGUGUACUGUUUCGGGAAGAAGAACAGCAACCUGAGGUUUCAAGUAAGGAAAAAAUAGUCUGA